GACGAACGCUGGCGGCGUGCCUAAUACAUGCAAGUUGAGCGCUGAAGGUUGGUACUUGUACCGACUGGAUGAGCAGCGAACGGGUGAGUAACGCGUGGGGAAUCUGCCUUUGAGCGGGGGACAACAUUUGGAAACGAAUGCUAAUACCGCAUAAAACUUUAAACACAAGUUUUAAGUUUGAAAGAUGCAAUUGCAUCACUCAAAGAUGAUCCCGCGUUGUAUUAGCUAGUUGGUGAGGUAAAGGCUCACCAAGGCGAUGAUACAUAGCCGACCUGAGAGGGUGAUCGGCCACAUUGGGACUGAGACACGGCCCAAACUCCUACGGGAGGCAGCAGUAGGGAAUCUUCGGCAAUGGACGAAAGUCUGACCGAGCAACGCCGCGUGAGUGAAGAAGGUUUUCGGAUCGUAAAACUCUGUUGGUAGAGAAGAACGUUGGUGAGAGUGGAAAGCUCAUCAAGUGACGGUAACUACCCAGAAAGGGACGGCUAACUACGUG
rnacentral:rRNA from 1 species